rnacentral:rRNA from 1 species
GACGAACGCUGGCGGCGUGCUUAACACAUGCAAGUCGAGCGGUAAGGCCCUUUCGGGGUACGACGAGCGGCGAACGGGUAGGAGUAACAACGUGGGUGGACCUCGCCCUCCAGCUCUGGGAGUAAGACCUCGGGAAACCGGGGUACCGUAAUAACUGGAGUAUGACUCCAUGACGCAUGUUGUGGGGUGGGAAAGACCUU